GAAAGGUCUGUACCUGUCUGCGGUGUGUCAAUUUCAGCGUAAACUACCUGAAAGCAGCGAACAGACACUCACCCAGCUGAUGCUCACUGCUGUCUGACAGCAAAGUCUCUCCAAACCUUUCUCAGUCGAAACAUGCAUCUUCUGAAAACUGACAGGAAAAAGAUCAACCUCCGAAUUGGAAAAAGAUUUACCUGCCAGAUCACAUCUGGAGUUGUGGAUGUCAUAGUUUACAAUGCCAACAAGCAAAACAAAAAGAAAACAGACUCUAAAGCAGGGCCGGCCCAAGGCAAAGCAAACUAAGCAGCCGCUUAGGGCCCCAAGGCCACUAAGAGGCCCCCUCAGUGAAGAUUAUUAUUAUUAUUAUUUGUAAUCAUUUCUAUGUUGUUCUAAUAUCAAAAACACACAAUUUCACUAUGAAGUGAUUUGUUUUUACAAUAAUAUCUAUUUGAUAAUGUAUGUAGAAAUCAUUAUUUUAUGGAUAAAUAAAAAGAAAUUGCUCUUGGGGGGCCCUGGUGGUACCGCACGCUUUGCCAGUAACUUGAGCUGCAAUGUGCAGAGAGCAUCCCAACAUCCAAAGCUCCAGUCAGAAGUUAAGAAAGCAAAGCAAUGUCUCAAAAAAUGACUUAUCCUUCAGGGAGGGAGAAAAGAAAGAGGAAGAAAAAAGCCAAGACAAAGGUUUGUUUUAAUGUGUCUUGGUA